rnacentral:rRNA from 1 species
CCUACGGGGGGCUGCAGUGGGGAAUAUUGGACAAUGGGGGCAACCCUGAUCCAGCCAUGCCGCGUGUGUGAAGAAGGCCCUCGGGUUGUAAAGCACUUUCAGUGAGGAAGAACGCCUGGUGGUUAAUACCCAUCAGGAAAGACAUCACUCACAGAAGACGCACCGGCUAACUCCGUGCCAGCAGCCGCGGUAAUACGGAGGGUGCGAGCGUUAAUCGGAAUUACUGGGCGUAAAGCGCGCGUAGGUGGCUUGAUAAGCCGGUUGUGAAAGCCCCGGGCUCAACCUGGGAACGGCAUCCGGAACUGUCAAGCUAGAGUGCAGGAGAGGAAGGUAGAAUUCCAGGUGUAGCGGUGAAAUGCGUAGAGAUCGGGAGGAAUACCAGUGGCGAAGGCGGCCUUCUGGACUGACACUGACACUGAGGUGCGAAAGCGUGGGUAGCAAACAGGAUUAGAUACCCGAGUAGUC